rnacentral:rRNA from 1 species
GCAAGUCGAACGGCAGCACGGAGCUUGCUCUGGUGGCGAGUGGCGAACGGGUGAGUAAUAUAUCGGAACGUACCCUGGAGUGGGGGAUAACGUAGCGAAAGUUACGCUAAUACCGCAUACGAUCUAAGGAUGAAAGUGGGGGAUCGCAAGACCUCAUGCUCGUGGAGCGGCCGAUAUCUGAUUAGCUAGUUGGUAGGGUAAAAGCCUACCAAGGCAUCGAUCAGUAGCUGGUCUGAGAGGACGACCAGCCACACUGGAACUGAGACACGGUCCAGACUCCUACGGGAGGCAGCAGUGGGGAAUUUUGGACAAUGGGCGAAAGCCUGAUCCAGCAAUGCCGCGUGAGUGAAGAAGGCCUUCGGGUUGUAAAGCUCUUUUGUCAGGGAAGAAACGGUGAGAGCUAAUAUCUCUUGCUAAUGACGGUACCUGAAGAAUAAGCACCGGCUAACUACGUGCCAGCAGCCGCGGUAAUACGUAGGGUGCAAGCGUUAAUCGGAAUUACUGGGCGUAAAGCGUGCGCAGGCGGUUUUGUAAGUCUGAUGUGAAAUCCCCGGGCUCAACCUGGGAAUUGCAUUGGAGACUGCAAGGCUAGAAUCUGGCAGAGGGGGGUAGAAUUCCACGUGUAGCAGUGAAAUGCGUAGAUAUGUGGAGGAACACCGAUGGCGAAGGCAGCCCCCUGGGUCAAGAUUGACGCUCAUGCACGAAAGCGUGGGGAGCAAACAGGAUUAGAUACCCUGGUAGUCCACGCCCUAAACGAUGUCUACUAGUUGUCGGGUCUUAAUUGACUUGGUAACGCAGCUAACGCGUGAAGUAGACCGCCUGGGGAGUACGG